rnacentral:rRNA from 1 species
CCCUUAGACGUUCUGGGCCGCACGCGCGCUACACUGACGGAGCCAGCGAGUAUAAACCUUGGCCGAGAGGUCUGGGAAAUCUUGUGAAACUCCGUCGUGCUGGGGAUAGAGCAUUGUAAUUAUUGCUCUUCAACGAGGAAUUCCUAGUAAGCGCAAGUCAUCAGCUUGCGUUGAUUACGUCCCUGCCCUUUGUACACACCGCCCGUCGCUACUACCGAUUGAAUGGCUUAGUGAGGCUUCCUGAUUGGUUUAGAGAAGGGGGCAACUCCAUCUUGGAACCGAGAAGCUAGUCAAACUUGGUCAUUUAGAGGAAGUAAAAGUCGUAACA